AAACCGUUCGGGGGUAAACGGACAGAGCCCGUGAAUCCGGGCGGCAGAAUUCAGAAUCGAUGGCCGUAAAAAAGUCGUCGGUUUAAUAUUUCUGCCGCCGCCUUCACUCGGACGUCGCGACCCGUUUGGUGUCGGUCUUAGGAGCCGCGUUUCAAGUUCGNAGCCGCGUCGCUUUCGGGCGUCGCGGUUGCGAGGGCGCGGUUUACUUUCCGGCUGACUAGCCAGACGGUACGCUACUGGNGACGGUCGUGGCCUUUUGCGCCGCGACUCGUACCGGUCUGCGACGAAUUUUCGGGCCUCUUUCCNA
rnacentral:rRNA from 1 species